rnacentral:tRNA from 1 species
GAAAAGUUAGUUUAAAUUAAAAUAUUAAUUUGUCAAAUUAAAGAUAUAGUAAUUAUACUUUUCU